GGAGUAUGGACCGUGUCUCAGUUCCAUUGUGGCCGUUCAUCCUCUCAGACCGGCUACCGAUCGUCGGCUUGGUGGUCCCUUACACCACCAACUACCUAAUCGGACGCAGGCUCCUCGCAAAGCGAUAAAUCUUUAGUGAAUCGUCCAUGCGAACAACUCACAACAUUCGGUAUUAGCGUCCCUUUCGGAACGUUGUCCCCAACUUCGCGGCAGAUUACCUGCGCUUUACUCACCCGUUCGCCACUAGCACCGAAGUGCCCGUUCGACUUGCAUGUGUUAAGCACGCCGCCAGCGUUCGUCCUCGAGCAGGAGUCAAACUACU
rnacentral:rRNA from 1 species